UCGAAUGUGGUGUAGGCGCAAUCCCGCUGUAUAUUCAUCGCCCCUAAAUGUCUGCGGAAGCCUGGGUUCGAUUCCCGGCAUUUGAA